rnacentral:misc_RNA from 1 species
GUGGAGUGCUAAACCCUAACACAACACAGGCUUAAGCUGUCUGGCUUUGCUUCACCGUCUUCCAUGGCAGACCAACACCAACAAAACACCACCAUCUCCAAAGCCUUCCCUGUAAAACCCAAGCUAAAACCCAAACCCAGAACCCCAUCAAAAUCCCCAGAAUCCAAAUACUGGUCCUCCUUCAAGUCCCAUCAAAUCCAGAACCUAAUUUCUUCAAUACCUUCUAUCGCCUUCUCUCCUGUACCCUCUUCUCAUCUCUUCGCCGCCGCCAAUUCUGCCUCCCUCACUUUCUUCUCCUCUCAAACCUUUUCUCCUACCUCCUCCAUCUCCUCCUUCUCUGACGUCGUUUCUUCGUGCUCCUUCCGCUCAGAUGGAUCCCUUAUUGCCGCCUCUGAUCUCUCCGGUCUUGUACAGGUGUUUGAUGUCAAAACCCGGACCCCACUUCGUCGCCUCCGCUCUCAUACUCGUCCUGCCCGGUUCGUUAAGUAUCCUGUUCACGACAAGCUACAUUUGGUGUCUGGUGGCGAUGAUACGGUUGUUAAGUAUUGGGAUGUUGCUGGGGAGAGUGUGGUUUUGGACUUGCUGGGUCAUAAGGAUUAUGUGAGGUGUGGAGAUUGUUCUCCAGUCAAUGCAGAGAUGUUUUUUACUGUUACUGGGUCUUAUGAUCACACCGUGAAGUUGUGGGAUGUGAGAGUAGAGAGUAAAAAAUCAGUGAUAGAAGUGAACCAUGGGAAGCCUAUUGAGGACGUGAUGUUUUUGCCUUCUGGUGGAAUGAUUGCUACUGCAGGAGGCAACACUGUGAAGAUAUGGGAUUUGAUUGGGGGAGGAAAGAUGGUGCAUUCCUUGGAGAGUCAUAACAAGACUGUUACAUCCAUUUGUGUGGGGAAAAUAAUGGGGCAAGAGAAUGGAGAGGAGACAAUUCAGUAUAGGAUUAUGAGUGUGGGUUUGGAUGGAUAUAUGAAAGUGUUUGAUUAUGCCAAAAUGAAGGUUACUCAUUCAAUGAGGUUUCCUGCUCCGCUUAUGUCAGUUGGGGUUUCGCAGGAUUGUAUGGCAAGAGCAAUUGGAACAUCCAAUGGGAUUAUAUUUGGUGGGAAGAGGAAGAUGAAGGAAAAUGAGGAAAAGAGUGAAUUACGGGAUUUCUUGGGGCUAGGGAGUGUGGAGGAGCCGCAGAGGCGGAUUCUGAGGCCUACCUAUUUUAGGUACUUUCACAGGAGUCAGGGAGAGAAACCAAAUGAGGGUGAUUAUUUGAUAAUGAGACCAAAGAAGGUGAAAUUUGCAGAGCAUGAUAAAUUGUUGAAGAAGUUCAGGCAUAAGGAAGCUUUGGUUUCAGCAUUAACCGGGAAGAAUCCAGAGAAUGUGGUAGCUGUAAUGGAGGAACUGGUUGCAAGGAGGAAGUUGCUGAAAUGUGUAUCGAAUUUAGACGAGGAAGAGCUUGGAUUGCUGUUGGGAUUCUUACAUAAGUACUCAACUAUGCCAAGACAUUCUGGGUUGCUAAUGGGGUUAACAAGAAAGGUACUUGAGAUGCGAGCUGAUGAUAUUAGAGGUUCUGAUGCACUGAAGGGUCAUAUCAGAAAUCUCAAGCGCUCAGUUGAGGAGGAGAUCAGAAUACAAGAGUCACUGCAGGAGAUACAGGGCAUAAUUUCGCCAUUACUAAGGAUUGCUGGAAGAAGAUAAAGAUGGUAUCUUGCUUUUGUUUUGUAAGGU